rnacentral:rRNA from 1 species
CGGAGGGGGCUAGCGUUAUUCGGAAUUAUUGGGCGUAAAGGGCGCGUAGGCGGCUCGAUGUGUCCCAGGUGAAAUCCCUCGGCUCAACUGAGGAACUGCCUUGGAAACUGUCGAGCUUGAGGCCGGAGGGGGUAGCGGAAUUCCCAGUGUAGCGGUGAAAUGCGUAGAUAUUGGGAGGAACACCAGUGGCGAAGGCGGCUACCUGGACCGGUUCUGACGCUGAUGCGCGAAAGCGUGGGUAGCAAACAGGAUUAGAUACCCUGGUAGUCCACGCUGUAAACGAUGGGUGCUCGGUGUCGCGGGUAUCGACCCCUGCGGUGCCUUAGCUAACGCGUUAAGCACCCCGCCUGGGGAGUACGGUCGCAAGGCUG